CGUGAUAUGACGUAAGACGAUGGCGACCCCUGUCCGACCUGAUGCUAACUGUCCAACGGCUAGCUAGGACGUGUUUGACUGAAAAACUAAAAAGAAGUGGCAGCCAUGGUAAAGAUAUUUCACAAUACGUGCAUAGUGAUGGUGGGAUGGGCUGCUGGACUUUCGUAAGACACCAGGAACCAGAAGCAAUACCACAUGACCCCAAAAGUUCCUGGGGCAAGGGAGGAAGACAGGCGAGCAGGAUUAAUGUUAAGUGUCAGAACUGCGAGGAAAGGUCAGAAAGAACAAGCUGCAAAGGAGACACCUCAACUGAACCUGCUGCCUUUGUAAAGACUGGGAGUUAAUGCUGAAUUCAUACAUAACAGAUGGUGUGGCUGUUGACCAUGCUGACGAUGGCCACGCCCAAGUUACAUCGGAUACCGAAGGAGAUGCAGAAGCCGAUUCCAGAGAGAAUGGCGAUAAUGUAGCGCCUGGGCAGACCGAAGCAUGUGCAGUCAACAAUGGGAAUCUCCUUCUCCUCCACCAGCUCCGGCCGGCCCUCUGCCGACAGCUCGAUGGUCUCGCCAUUUUCCUGCUUCUUCUCAAGAGCUCUGCAUUCAUCUGCUGACAGAACGGGCCCGCAGUGAAGAGUACAGUUUUAUUUCUUCUGGUACCACUGGAUGACCACUGAUAGUGUCAGACAAGGUGCAGAUUAGUGGUUUCCUCUUCUCUCAGCAAGUCUUGUAUUUGUGGUGGAGGGGGAGGAGGAGGUGCUGCUGCCGGGCCCUGAUGGGGCCUGAUCUCCUGCUCAGACUGCAGAGUGCUCUGGGAGCUGCUCAGUGGAAACACCAGAAGCAGGCAGAGAGCUGCCAGGCCCGCCAUGAGGGUCAUCCACCGGUACACCUACAAAUGAAAAGGGACAUGCAAAAAUAUGAUCAAGAACAGAUGAAAAUGA